AACGUAGGAGACAAACGUUAUCCGGAGUUACUGGGCGUAAAGGGCGUGUAGGUGGUUUUGUAAGUCUGGCGUGAAAUUUUUCGGCUUAACCGGGAAAGGUCGUCGGAUACUGCAAGGCUAGAGGACGGUAGAGGCGUGUGGAAUUCCGGGUGUAGUGGUGAAAUGCGUAGAGAUCCGGAGGAACGCCAGUGGCGAAGGCGACACGCUGGGCCGUACCUGACACUGAUGCGCGACAGCAUGGGGAGCAAACAGG
rnacentral:rRNA from 1 species